rnacentral:rRNA from 1 species
UACGAAGGGUGCUAGCGUUGCUCGGAAUCACUGGGCGUAAAGCGCACGUAGGCGGCUUUUUAAGUCAGAGGUGAAAUCCUGGAGCUCAACUCCAGAACUGCCUCUGAUACUGGAGAGCUUGAGUCCGGGAGAGGUGAGUGGAACUGCGAGUGUAGAGGUGAAAUUCGUAGAUAUUCGCAAGAACACCAGUGGCGAAGGCGGCUCACUGGCCCAGUACUGACGCUGAGGUGCGAAAGCGUGGGGAGCAAACAGG